rnacentral:lncRNA from 1 species
AUUAAUGUCAUUAUCUUGAUUUUACAGAUGAGAAAACUCAAGACUCAGAAACAAUAAAGGUUACAGAGAUGAAAUUGACAGAGCCUGAAUUUCAGUAUGUCAAACUUCAAUGUGCCAUUAUACUUUUAAAUCCUACAGAACAGAUUGAAUCACAACUUCUACUUUUACAUGAGAGAAGACAAUGGGUCCUAUGACUUACUGUCAGUUUCCUUUUCCUGAUUUAAUUAGCUGCUUCUGUAUCUAAUUUUGCUAGGAAUGGAGGAAUAAGGCAAAUUCCCUAAACUACAUAUUGACAUUUAUACUAAUGUGAAAACCUCAAGUCCAUUUGCAGACUUUUGGAUUAGAUUCUGUCCCAGAAAGACAUCCACCCUAGAGUUCAGGAUAUCAUACCCAUUUUACUGUUCCCCUGGCACAAUUCAUAGUAAGGAAAAACAGACAAGGGGAAAGCUAUUAGAUUCUCGGUGCUGCUAAACAGGACACACAAGGACACCAUUUUGUGAUGAUGAUGGUGCUUUAUGCAGCUUCCACCAUUUACAAGAUUUUCCUGUGGUGUGGAACCUCUCAUGAUAAAGCAAAGGAACUAGAAGCUUAUUCCAGUCAAGAUUUCUGAUUUAUCUUGUGGUAAGCAUUUGGGAAGGACAUAUCUGCACAUGACCUGAGACUAAGUACUAUACACUGAAUCAGAUGAAAAUUGCUCUUAGGAAGCUUACAAUUUUCCAAAUAGUUAGGACAAAAACAAACUCUCCUUCUCUCUUCCUAUAUGUACAUACUGACAUCUUUAUCAUUACUGUCUUCCUAGGGUUAUGAUUCUGUAUGGUUUCUUUGGUGCUGCAUUAGACCUGAGCUCUGAUUGAAAAUUCUUCCACGCUCGCUACAUUCCAAAACUUUAUCUCCAAUAUGAAUUUCCAGAUGCCUCACAAGGUCUGAGCUCCAUCUGAAGGCUUUCCCAUGCUUGUCACAUUCAUAGGGCUUUUCUCCACUAUGAAUUCUAUGAUGUCGAAUAAAGUGUGAGCUCUGAUUACAAGUCUUUGAACAUUCAUUGCAUUCACAAAGUUUCUUUCCACUGUGAAUUCUUUGAUGCUGAAUAAGUUGUGAGCUCCCCUUCAAAUCUUUCCCACACCCAAUGCAUUUAUAAGGCCUCUCUCUCACCUUGUAUGGAUUCUCUGAUGUUCUGUAAGGACUGAGUUCUGGCCAGGCGCAGUGGCUCACGCCUGUAAUCCCAGCACUUUGGGAAACCGAGGCGGGUGGAUCAGCUGGGCUCAGGAGUUCGAGACCAGCCUGGCCAGCAUGGUGAAAGCCCCUCUCUACUAAAAAUACAAAAAUUAGCCGGGUGUGGUGGUGGGUGCCUGUAAUCCCAGCUAAUUGGGAGGCUGGGGCUGGAGAAUUACUUGAACCUGGGAGGUGGAGGUUGCAGUGAGCCGAGAUCGGGCCACUGCACUCCAGCCUGGCAGCAGUGUGAGACUCCGUCCCAAAAAAUAACAAACAAACAAAAAAGACACCAGAGGGCUUUGGGUCCCUCUCUCUCUGCCAUGUGAGGACCCUGUGAGAAGGCAGCCAGGGAGCUCUCACCAGAACCUGACCAUGUUGGGCCCUGGUCACAGCCUUGCAGCCUCCAAAACUGAGAAAAUAAAUUUCUGUUGUCUGGC